rnacentral:lncRNA from 12 species
CCAAUAAGAAUAGAAGAUGUAGACCAUAGAAGACUGACUUUCUGUCCCAAAUUACCACAUAUUUUAAGAUGCAGUUUGGUGGAAAGGCUUUCUCCAAAACAGGGUGCAAGUAGACUUUUCUGACUUAUGCAGGUAUUUGCCUUUGUAACAUUUGUACCAAGUUGUUCCAUUGGAACUACUCUAAACUUCCCUAACCUCUCAUCCCCCUCAUCUGGACACUACUUUCCUUCCCAUGUAGCCUCAUUUCCAGACAGCCUCUUUCUUCCUGUGCUUCAUGUCCUAAAACUUCUUCAACCAAGCCCAGAAGAACAAAAUUCUCAAGUGUGGAAGAUGCAUUGUACAAGAGGCCUCAGUCACUGA